CCGAGUACCGGGUCUUCAAGGCCCUUACUCCCACCCUUUGUGUACCUACCUUUUUUUCGUUGCCUUGGUGGGGUUGAUCCCUGGGCCUCGCGGCCUAGGGGGACCUGCCAGGGGGACACAUCCAAACUAUUGUUAACAGUACUGUCUGAGAAUAAACUUAAUAAGUUA
rnacentral:misc_RNA from 1 species